AUUGAACGCUGGCGGCAGGCCUAACACAUGCAAGUCGAGCGGAUGAAGGGAGCUUGCUCCUGGAUUCAGCGGCGGACGGGUGAGUAAUGCCUAGGAAUCUGCCUGGUAGUGGGGGAUAACGUCCGGAAACGGGCGCUAAUACCGCAUACGUCCUGAGGGAGAAAGUGGGGGAUCUUCGGACCUCACGCUAUCAGAUGAGCCUAGGUCGGAUUAGCUAGUUGGUGGAGUAAAGGCCUACCAAGGCGACGAUCCGUAACUGGUCUGAGAGGAUGAUCAGUCACACUGGAACUGAGACACGGUCCAGACUCCUACGGGAGGCAGCAGUGGGGAAUAUUGGACAAUGGGCGAAAGCCUGAUCCAGCCAUGCCGCGUGUGUGAAGAAGGUCUUCGGAUUGUAAAGCACUUUAAGUUGGGAGGAAGGGCAGUAAGUUAAUGCCUUGCUGUUUUGACGUUACCAACAGAAUAAGCACCGGCUAACUUCGUG
rnacentral:rRNA from 1 species